AACAGGCUUAUUACACCGGUGCUGUAAGAUCACAGAAGUUAAGCAAUUUCGAGCCUGGCCAGUAUCUAGUUGGGCGACCGCUUGGGAAUACCAGGAGCUGUUA